rnacentral:rRNA from 1 species
UGAACGCUGGCGGCGUGCCUACUACAUGCACAUCGAGCGAACGGACGAGAAGCUUGCUUCUCUGAUGUUAGCGGCGGACGGGUGAGUAACACGUGGAUAACCUACCUAUAAGACUGGGAUAACUUCGGGAAACCGUAGCUAAUACCGGAUAAUAUUUUGAACCGCAUGGUUCAAAAGUGAAAGACGGUCUUGCUGUCACUUAUAGAUGGAUCCGCGCUGCAUUAGCUAGUUGGUAAGGUAACGGCUUACCAAGGCAACGAUGCAUAGCCGACCUGAGAGGGUGAUCGGCCACACUGGAACUGAGACACGGUCCAGACUCCUACGGGAGGCAGCAGUAGGGAAUCUUCCGCAAUGGGCGAAAGCCUGACGGAGCAACGCCGCGUGAGUGAUGAAGGUCUUCGGAUCGUAAAACUCUGUUAUUAGGGAAGAACAUAUGUGUAAGUAACUGUGCACAUCUUGACGGUACCUAAUCAGAAAGCCACGGCUAACUACGUG